rnacentral:rRNA from 1 species
AAUUCUAGAGCUUAUACACGCAAAAAAGCUCCGACCUUUUGGGAAAGAGCGCAUUUAUUAGACCAAAACCAAUCGGGCUUCGGCCUGAGCUGUGGUGACUCUGAAUAACUAAGUCGAUCGCACGGUCUUUGUACCGGCGACGCAUUUUUCAAAUGUCUGCCUUAUCAACUUUCGAUGGUAGUUUAUGUGCCUACCAUGGUUAUAACGGGUAACGGAGAAUAAGGGUUCGACUCCGGAGAGGGAGCCUGAGAAACGGCUACCACAUCCAAGGAAGGCAGCAGGCGCGCAAAUUACCCAAUGUCGGCAGGAGGAGGUAGUGACGAAAAAUAACGCUUUAGUGGUUAGGGGCCCGCCAUCGGAAUGGGAC